GGCCUUGUAGCUCAGUUGGCUAGAGCAUUAGCUGUACUAAAGCCUUCCCCUAGCUAGCGUGGUUUCGAAUCCCCCCGAGGCCG
rnacentral:tRNA from 1 species